rnacentral:rRNA from 2 species
AGUUACCGCUCUAUAACCCUUUGUGAACAUACCUAUAACUGUUGCUUCGGCGGGUAGGGUCUCCGUGACCCUCCCGGCCUCCCGCCCCCGGGCGGGUCGGCGCCCGCCGGAGGAUAACCAAACUCUGAUUUAACGACGUUUCUUCUGAGUGGUACAAGCAAAUAAUCAAAACUUUUAACAACGGAUCUCUUGGUUCUGGCAUCGAUGAAGAACGCAGCGAAAUGCGAUAAGUAAUGUGAAUUGCAGAAUUCAGUGAAUCAUCGAAUCUUUGAACGCACAUUGCGCCCGCCAGCAUUCUGGCGGGCAUGCCUGUUCGAGCGUCAUUUCAACCCUCAAGCUCUGCUUGGUGUUGGGGCCCUACAGCUGAUGUAGGCCCUCAAAGGUAGUGGCGGACCCUCCCGGAGCCUCCUUUGCGUAGUAACUUUACGUCUCGCACUGGGAUCCGGAGGGACUCUUGCCGUAAAACCCCCAAUUUUCCAAAGGUUGACCUCGGAUCAGGUAGGAAUACCCGCUGAACUUAA